UACGGAGGGGGCAAGCGUUGUUCGGAAUCAUUGGGCGUAAAGGGCGCGUAGGUGGUUCUGUAUGUCUACCGUGAAAGCAUACAGCUCAACUGUAUAUUGUCGGUAGAAACUGCAGGACUUGAGGCUGGGAGGGGCUGGUGGAAUUCCCUGUGUAGCGGUGAAAUGCGUAGAGAUGGGGGAGAACACUCGUGGCGAAGGCGGCCAGCUAGACCAGUUCUGACACUGAGGCGCGACAGCGUGGGGAGCAAACAGG
rnacentral:rRNA from 1 species